UCUCUCUUCCCUUCGCCCUAGCCGCACUCCCAUAACCACCAUCAUCCUCAGCUCCGACCACCUAACCACCAUCCUCACACCCGUUUUUCUCCGAGCCAAGCUCCAAAUCUCAAGCACCCGUGAACCCAACCCCCGAACCAAGUGACCCCAGGUGCGAGCCCACCUCUGCGUGCCUUCGACCCAGUGCGACUUCCAUUCGCGGGCCACCACCAAGCUUACGCCGUUGAGGAGAAGAUGAAAGCCCCGUGAGGCUGAAAUUUCUGUACAGGGGAAAUUGGUAGAUCCCCAGCGCAAAAAGAGCAAAGGCUGCAAGUUUGGAUUCUAUCACUUCACUCGUUAAGAAUGACUUGAUAACUAUUGAAACACUGGUCAAAGAGAUGGAAAUGUAUCUGACCACUACAGAUAAUGUCAUUCGAGCUAGAGGUAAGUUGAAGUUGAAUUCAUUAAAAAUUAACAAAGAUUUAGAUUUUUGUUUAAAUGGUGUUCACUCCACAACUAUUACAAA